UCUUUAUUCGCCGCAAACUUCUCGCGAGAAGCUUGCGGCGGAAACCCUAAUCCACUUCCUCUAUACAUCCAUAUUUUUUUAUCUAUAUAUAUCAAUCAAUCGUGGAUGUUUUAAUAUGAUUUCCCCUUCUUUCUCUUAGAUCUAUUGAAAGCAUGAUUAUGUUUUGAUGUCCCAAUGAGGAAGAACAACUUUCUUGAUAGGAAGUGCCGUAUGACUCGUUAAACAGCAACUGUGGCAUCUAGUUACUUCCACCCAUCUUCGUUUGCUCCAUUCUUUUCAUAUUCUUUAAGAAUUGAACUGUUGUGGAUGUUAAAAUGAAUGGCUAUGUGGAAUGACUUGAACUCGUCACGGUUGUGUGUGUGAUUUUAAACAGUUCUCUGAGGGUUUUUGUUUUGCGUUUUAUUUUAGCUGUUUUGGUUAAGGCCUGAUGCCACGUCUCCAGAAGCGAAUGCAGUGACUGGUGAUGCUAUUAUCAAGCCAAUACAAAGGCCUUUUGGCAUUUCGUUUGCUGAUAGGAAUCUGUUGAUAACUUUUAAUUUAUCUACGGAGCCGUUUACGGCGAUUACAUCAUUUUUCAUUGUCUGCCUAUUUCAAUUUGCAUAAUGUGAUUUGUAGAUAUCCUUUGCAAGUGACGAUAAACAUAGACAGGGACAUCUGUACUCUUAGAGAGGUUGAUGAUUGGUUCUAUGGGAAAUGGGAAUCUCUCCGAUGCAAUUUCUUUUUCUUUUGCUGAGUUAUAAGUUUUUCUCGUCACUUCUUUGCCUGUGAUGCAUAGAUAUGCACGUAUUAUCAGACUUUAAAUGAUGACGAAUACAUUGUCACUACCACUGAGGCUCUUCUUUGUUUUUUUCUACACUUGGAGUUUUUUGUUUUGUUUUGAUUGUUUACGAAUGAGUUUUUGACUCCGAUGAUGAUUAAACAUUAAACUUUCGUUCUUCUGAGUUUACAAGCAUUGCGGAAUAAAAAUGGAGACCUGAACUGAGGAGUUUAUAUUUUUUGUGAUUUGAUGCUUCCUUUCUCGGUGUGUCGUUUUGUUUAUAUGGUUUCAUUCAGUUUUCUGUAAGGUGCCUAUGAUUCCUAUAAAUAUACUUUGAUCUAACUUCAUGAAAAGAUUUUAAUCUGAGGCACUAAUGCAAUAAUAAAUGUGGUUUAUCGUCCUAACAAAUCUUUGUUUUUCGAUUGGGCAUUACUUGUGGUGAUUUUGUUAGAUUAUUCAGGUGUCAGUUUAGGUAGGACAUCGAAUCUGUGCUACCCAAAUGUAAAUCGUUUAAGAGCUCUUAGAAGUACCCACCCACAUUUUGAACAGUCUCUCCAGUCUAACGGCUGGUUUCUCGCUCCAGUGCCACGCUCCCACCAUUGUGAGCACCCAGCUGUUAUACUGAGUCUCAGAGGAUCUGAUUCUCUUCUUCCGCUCACCUUACUAGUCAAGCAUUUCUUCUUGGAUCCUUUUGGUGCAACUUUUUGAUUGGUUUUGUGGCUGGCCGUGCUCUCUGGUGCUUGUUGCCCCGCUGUUCUCCAGGCAUUAAUCUGAACUCAAUCUCUAAUGUUUUUAGUAAAUCAAGGUAAAAUGGUCAGUUUUUAAUCUUUUGAAAUCAAUCUCUCUAGCUAUUGUAUUGUAACUGGUUUAUUUUCCUCUAUUGUGUCUGGUUUCCGAAAAUUUUCCA